rnacentral:rRNA from 1 species
CCUACGGGUGGCAGCAGUGGGGGAUAUUGCACAAUGGGGGAAACCCUGAUGCAGCGACGCCGCGUGAGUGAAGAAGUAUUUCGGUAUGUAAAGCUCUAUCAGCAGGGAAGAAAAGGACAGUAUGUGAACAAGAUGCCACGUCUCACUACGGGCCAGCAGCCGCGGUAAUACGUAGGGGGCAAGCGUUAUCCGGAUUUACUGGAUGUAAAGGGAGGGUAGACGGUGAUGUAAGUCUGUGGUGAAAGCACGGGGCCCAACCCCGGGACUGCAUUGGAUACUGUGUACCUGGAGUACAGGAGGGGCAGGCGGAAUUCCUGGUGUAGCGGUGAAAUGCGUAGAUAUCACGAAGAACACCGGCGGCGAAGGCAGCCUGCUGGACUGUAACUGACGUUGAGGCUCGAAAGCGUGGGGAGCAAACAGGAUUAGAUACCCGUGUAGUC